UACAGAGGUCUCAAGCGUUGUCCGGAAUUAUUGGGCGUAAAGAGCUCGUAGGCGGUCUGUCGCGUCUGCUGUGAAAACUCAGGGCUUAACCCUGAGCUUGCAGUGGGUACGGGCAGACUAGAGUGCGGUAGGGGAGACUGGAAUUCCUGGUGUAGCGGUGAAAUGCGCAGAUAUCAGGAGGAACACCGGUGGCGAAGGCGGGUCUCUGGGCCGUAACUGACGCUGGAGGAGCGAAAGCAUGGGGAGCGAACAGG
rnacentral:rRNA from 1 species